UUGCCUGGAAAAUCCCAUGGACGGAGGAGCCUGGUAGGCUACAGUCCAUGGGGUCGCGAAGAGUCGGACACGACUGAGCGACUUCACUUUCACCUUAAGUAGCCAGGAGGAAUUUAGGAUACUGUUAAUACUGCCAUUUUUAAAAAGUUACAUGCUUUUAAAUGUAUAUCUAAAUACCAUGGUGAUUUGGUGUUCAUCAUUAUCCAUUCUACUUCCUCCAAAGAAUUUUAUACUACUUUUAUUAUGCAUGAUAGUCAUACAUUGACAGUAACUGUUGCACUUCUCUGCAACUAAAUUUGAAAUUACUUCCUGUAACCUUAAAAUUCCAAGCAUUAAAGUUUGUCUCCAAUUAUAAAUACACAGUUGAUCACAACAGUAUAUAGGUAUAUGGCAGAUACUGUUAACUGAUUGCUGAACCAUUUCAUAUCAUGCAGUUAUGUUAUCUCCAUCUUUAUAAACAGGGUAGCUAUGUAACUGAAUUCUAAUAAAUCAGGAAAAGCAGUGUUCAGAACUUACAGGUCUGGUCUGAAAAUUUCCCCCAUGCAACCCUCCUCACCUUUUACUCAUCUGCUAGCUUGAUGCAGAGGAGUAUGUGGCUUCUGAGUAUACACACAAGAAGGAGGAAACUUGGCUUCCUGGAUCACCACUUAGAGGAGAGCCAUCCAUCAAUCCUGGAUAUUCCUUUAGAUUUCAGUGUCAGAAAAAAGCAGCAUCAAUUGGCAUCUCAGGAAAAAAGGCCUGGAGGACACAGAAGUCUAGAAUAUCUAUCAAAUGAAUUAAAAUUAUUCUCCAGACUUAACUGGUCUAGUUCUUCUAGGAGAAUAACACUUACAUUACCUUUGAGAUCCACUUCAGGGGUUAUUAACAGAACCAAAAGGGUGGCUCAGAGGUUAAAGCGUCUGCCUCCAAUGCGGGAGACCCAGGUUCGAUCUCUGGGUCGGGAAGAUCCCCUGGAGAAGGAAAAGGCAACCCACUCCAGUAUUCUUGACUGGAGAAUCCCAUGGAUUGAGGAGCCUGGUGGGCUGUAGUCCACAGGGUCACAAAGAGUCGGACACGACUGAGUGACUUUACUUACUAAAAGGGUAAAGACCACCUUAAAAACAAUUCAGUUUUUUCAAGACAGAAAAUGGUCACUAAACCCUCCAAUGUCAGUUUUUGGUUUUUUUUUUAAUAUACACAGGAAGAAAGUAGUUUGGAGUAUUACACCACCUAAAUUUGCUAAAAUUAUAUUCUCCAGAAUUUAAAAGAAUAUACUACACAUUUUCUCUGAAUUCAUUUAUUUAAAGAUAAAACAGCCAUUUGAGAUCAUGGAAUACAAUACCAACACAAUAAAAGGUGAGGAAUUGUUAUAUUUUGCUUACAUUAAUAAAUAUCUUAAAAGAAGCAAAUGUAGAUUUUAAGAUUUAAGACACUAAUGACACAACUGAGAGUUUCUAUCUAAGUUAACAGUGAUACUGCUUGAUUUUCAAGUUGAAAGAUUUUUAAUAACCUAUAUAUUUCAAUUAGGUGGCAGCAAAUAGAAAAGCAUCUUUUGAGCCGAACAGUAUACUGUUAAGCAGGAGUUUAUUUUACAGCAGUCCAUCAUUCUCCUGGCCUCAGUUUGUGUAGAAGGCAUACUAGACAUCAGCAAUUCACAUCACAUAAAUGAUCUACCACUCACAAUGGUGCAAAAUCUAUUAUGCAUGUAUUUGAAUAGAAAUUAUUUUUGAAUUCCAGAAAAAAUGCCAUUUGUGUUUGACAGAUGUGGGAUUUCCCAGUUUUGCCACUGAUUAGCUAUCUGAGCUUCAGUUUCUUCACUGUUAAACUUUUGACAGAACAGGAAGAAACUGAAAAAUAGGCUUUUAAUAGCCUUCGGUUUAUCAGCUCUGAUUUUCAAAACAAACUUUCAAAGUGAUUUUCAACCUCCUUCUAACCUAUGAUUAUCCUUUUCAAAAUCUUUGUCCAAAUCCUUCUCAGAGUUCCUAACUUCUCCACUGAACACAUUUUAACACAUCUGCAUGUGUUUAUAAUGACCAAAACAAAGUUCAUUAUGUUAGUAUGAAAGACUACCUGUACUCAGGGUACAUUACAACCUACCUGGGUAUUCAAUUUAGUACCCACCACUAGCAAAUCUCUGAAAUUUCUGUGUCUCCGUCUCCACCAUAACCUACACUGUUGUCAAUCAAAUACUCCAUACCUGUGUAUGUUCCUUACCUUCAUAUCAAG